UUUAUGGAGAGUUUGAUCCUGGCUCAGGAUGAACGCUGGCGGCGUGCCUAAUACAUGCAAGUCGAGCGAACGGACGAGAAGCUUGCUUCUCUGAUGUUAGCGGCGGACGGGUGAGUAACACGUGGAUAACCUACCUAUAAGACUGGGAUAACUUCGGGAAACCGGAGCUAAUACCGGAUAAUAUUUUGAACCGCAUGGUUCAAAAGUGAAAGACGGUCUUGCUGUCACUUAUAGAUGGAUCCGCGCUGCAUUAGCUAGUUGGUAAGGUAACGGCUUACCAAGGCAACGAUGCAUAGCCGACCUGAGAGGGUGAUCGGCCACACUGGAACUGAGACACGGUCCAGACUCCUACGGGAGGCAGCAGUAGGGAAUCUUCCGCAAUGGGCGAAAGCCUGACGGAGCAACGCCGCGUGAGUGAUGAAGGUCUUCGGAU
rnacentral:rRNA from 1 species